rnacentral:rRNA from 1 species
UACGGAGGGUGCAAGCAUUAAUCGGAUUUAUUGGGCGUAAAGGGCGCGUAGGCGGUAAGAAAAGUCAGAUGUGAAAUCCCGAGGCUUAACCUCGGACCCGCAUUUGAAACUUUCUUUCUAGAGGGUAGAUGGAGAAAACGGAAUUCCACGUGUAGCGGUGAAAUGCGUAGAUAUGUGGAAGAACAUCUGUGGCGAAGGCGGUUUUCUAAUUUACUCCUGACGCUGAUGCGCGAAAGCAAGGGGAUCAAACAGG